rnacentral:rRNA from 1 species
GAUGAACGCUAGCUACAGGCUUAACACAUGCAAGUCGAGGGGUAACGAGAGGAAAGCUUGCUUUCCUUGUCGACGACCGGCGCACGGGUGAGUAACGCGUAUCCAACCUGCCCCCAACUAGGGAAUAACCUUGCGAAAGUAAGACUAAUACCCUAUAAUUUCCUCAGAUGUCAUCUGACGAGGAAUAAAGAUUUAUCGGUUGUGGAUGGGGAUGCGUCUGAUUAGCUUGUUGGCGGGGUAACGGCCCACCAAGGCAACGAUCAGUAGGGGUUCUGAGAGGAAGGUCCCACACAGUGGAACUGAGGCACGGUCCAAACUCCUACGGGAGGCAGCAGUGAGGAAUAUUGGUCAAUGGGCGGAAGCCUGAACCAGCCAAGUAGCGUGCAGGAUGACGGCCCUAUGGGUUGUAAACUGCUUUUAUACAGGAAUAAAGUUAGCCACGUGUGGUUAUUUGUAGGUACUGUAUGAAUAAGGACCGGCUAAUUCCGUGCCAGCCGCCGCAGUAA